rnacentral:rRNA from 1 species
GAUGAACGCUAGCGGCAGGCCUAAUACAUGCAAGUCGAACGGUGUCUUCGGACAUAGUGGCGCACGGGUGCGUAACACGUAUGCAACCUACCUUACAUUGGGGGAUAGCCUUUCGAAAGGGAGAUUAAUACCGCAUAAGACAGUAGCUGGGCAUCCAGCAGCUGUUAAAGAUUUAUCGAUGUAAGCUGGGCAUGCGUCCAAUUAGCUAGUUGGUGAGGUAACGGCUCACCAAGGCAAUGAUUGGUAGGGGAACUGAGAGGUCAAUCCCCCACACUGGCACUGAGAUACGGGCCAGACUCCUAUGGGAGGCAGCAGUAGGGAAUAUUGGGCAAUGGACGCAAGUCUGACCCAGCCAUGCCGCGUGCAGGAUGAAGGCGUUAUGCGUUGUAAACUGCUUUUAUACAGGAAGAAACUACUCUUGCGAGAGGCAUUGACGGUACUGUAUGAAUAAGCGCCGGCUAACUCCGUGCCAGCAGCCGCCGUAA